rnacentral:snRNA from 1 species
GUGCUCACUUCGGCAGCACAUAUACUAAAAUUAGAACAAUAUAGAGAAGAUUAGCAUGGCCCUUGCACAAGAAU